rnacentral:misc_RNA from 1 species
GAUGAAGAACGCAGUGAAAUGCGAUAAGUAAUGCGAAUUGCAGAAUCCGUGAGUCAUCGAAUCUUUGAACGCACAUUGCGCCCCUUGGUAUUCCGAGGGGCAUGCCUGUUCGAGCGUCAUUUCAACCCUCAAGCACAGCUUGGUCUUGGGCUUCGCCGCUAACCCGGCGGGUCUUAAAAUCAGUGGCGGUGCCGUCGGGCCCUGAGCGCAGUAAUCUCUCUCGCUAUAGGGUCCCGGCGGAUGCUGGCCAGUAACCCCCAAUUUUCUAUGGUUGACCUCGGAUCAGGUAGGGAUACCCGCUGAACUUAAGCAUAUCAAUAAGCGGAGGA